AAGCGCUUGAUUACCGACUACAUUUACCGACCGCCAGAAAAGUAGUUGGUAAAACUAAAUUUACCGACCAAUAUUAAAUCAGUCGGUAUUUUACCGACCAAUAUAAAAGCGGUCGCUAUUAUUUAAAUUUACCAACCGCUUCUAAAACAGUCGAUAAAUUACCGACUGCUUUUCCAUGUUUUCCGACUAAAUAAUAGACCUUAAACAUCAGAUUAUUUCCAAAUUAAAUUUAAAACUUUACCAACCGCUUAUUCCAUUUUAGCGGUCGUUAAUUAUUUCAAAAAAGAAAAUGUAGGUGGGAAUUGGGUUUAGGACCAACUUCCUUCCUGAAUGUACAUUCCAACAAAAAAAAAAGAACAGAGCAGGGGGUUUAGUCGACCAAAUAAAUUGGGCGAAUUGAAGGCAACAACCCUCUCCCCCAGCGCCGCCAGCCCCACCCUCAGCUCCGCCAGCCCCACCCUCGCUGUUAUUCCUCCUUGCGAAUCGUCGAGACGCUCAUGAAUUAACCAGCCCCACCCCAGCGCCGUCUGCUCUACCAUUUCCGCGUGGCUCUGUCACCCAACCAAGGAAAACUAUGAAAAAAAUGUUGCUGAAUGCGUUGAAAAAGGCAUUGCUAAAGAUCCCAACCAAAUCUACUUUGAGAUACUAAAGGCUAUGCAGGACGAUCUUCCAUUGAGCUUGAAACAACAAAAACUCAGAUGCUAAAGGCUAUGGAGGACGAUCUACUUUUGAGGCAAAGUGAGAGAGAAGAAAGAGAAGCAGAGCGACUAGAGCAUCAAAGGGAGAUGGAAAGGGAGAGACAAGAGAGAGAAGAAUAUGCUGCCAAGAUGAAAAGGCAAUGGUUUUCCUUUCUCGCAGUCGCAGGACCCUCGAGAUCCAACCGGAGGCGGGACACCUUUGUGUUAGGUAGUUAGUAUUCUUGUAUUAGUUUGAACUAGUUACAACUUUUCGUAUUAACAUGUUUGAACAACAUUAUGUGUAUUAUGAAUCUUUGUUGUAUGACUUUGAACAUGUUUAAUAUUAUAACAUCGAGCAGGUUUCAUACGA